rnacentral:rRNA from 2 species
GUCUCUUUGAUAUAAUAUAAGGAGUCUGGCCUGCCCGGUGACAUGGUUUAACGGCUGCAGUAUCCUGACUGUGCAAAGGUAGCAUAAUAACUUGCCUUUUAAUUGGAGGAUAGAAUCAAUGGCUUGACGAGAGCAAAGCUGUCUUUUUUGUUUUUAUUAAAAUUUAUCUUUCAAGUUAAAAGACUUGAAUUUAACUAAAAGACGAUAAGACCCUAUUGAGCUUUAAAGGAGCAAAAUAAUUAUUUAUUAUUAGCAAAAUUGGUAGUGAUUUUGAGAAAUUUUAGUUGGGGCGACUGCGGAGUAUAAAAAACCUCCGAAUUAGGAAACUAAUUUCGGUUUCUGAUCCAUAAUUUAUGAUAAGUGGAAUUAGUUACCAUAGGGAUAACAGCGCACUACUUUUAAGGAGACCACAUUUUUAAAGGAGAUCGCGACCUCGAUGUUGGAUUAAAGUAUACUGAAAGGCGCAGAAGCUUUUUAAGUUAGUCUGUUCGACUAUUAAAUCUUU